rnacentral:lncRNA from 1 species
GAUGAGCAAAUGUAUAAAUGAUGUAUAAAUAUAAAUGUCAUAUGUUUUGGAGGAUCAUGUGAUGUUUAUAUGAAAGAAAAGAAUGAAUGUAGUUGUAAUAUGCUUGUAUUUGAUUUCAUGUAAUCAAGAUACAUGAAUGGAUGUGAUAGUUGUAGAACUUUCACUUUUGGUUGUUGCUUGCCUUCGAGUAAGCCAUGUAUAUCUAUGUUUCCGCUUACGCAAAUUAUAUACAUGUUGAUAUUGUGUUGAGCCUUGGGCGGACAAGGAAAGUGAUGUCCGUCCGGCGUCUGUUGGCGUGCCCGAACC